GAUGAACGCUGGCGGCGUGCCUAACACAUGCAAGUCGAGCGAUUCACUUCGGUGAAGAGCGGCGGACGGGUGAGUAACGCGUGGGUAACCUGCCUCAUACACAUGGAUAACAUACCGAAAGGUAUGCUAAUACAAGAUGAUAUAAGAGAUUCGCAUGGAUUUCUUAUCAAAGCUCCGGCGGUAUGAGAUGGACCCGCGUCUGAUUAGCUAGUUGGUAAGGUAACGGCUUACCAAGGCGACGAUCAGUAGCCGACCUGAGAGGGUGAUCGGCCACAUUGGAACUGAGACACGGUCCAAACUCCUACGUGAGGCAGCAGUGGGGAAUAUUGCACAAUGGGCGAAAGCCUGAUGCAGCAACGCCGCGUGAGCGAUGAAGGCCUUCGGGUCGUAAAGCUCUGUCCUCAAGGAAGAUAAUGACGGUACUUGAGGAGGAAGCCCCGGCUAACUACGUGCCAGCCGCCGCAGUAA
rnacentral:rRNA from 1 species